UGAAAAUGGACUCAAAGGCUGGGAGCACACCUCAGUGGUACAGUCCUUGCCCAGCUGUGUGAAGCCAUGGGUUUGAUCCCCAGUACUACCAAAACAAAACAUAAAUUCAGAAAUAGCACAAAUGAUAGCAUAAAUGUAUUAUAUUCCAUACAGUCAAAAAGGUAGAGAAAAGCAUAGAAAUAGUAAGGAAAACACGAAUGAUAUAAAAAGAUCAAAAUAGAACUUCUAGAGAGUAAAAACUAUGACAGUCCAGAAUAGGGCUAAGAGAAGAUUAGAUAAUGGACAAAAAGAGAAAUUUAAAGAUACAGCAAUAGAAGUUAUCAAAAAUAAGACACUGAGAAAAAAAGACGGAAAAGAAAAUGAACAGAGGACCAGCAAACUGUGGGACAAGUCAAACAGCCUAAUAUAGGCAUAGUUGAAAUUUCUUUGGAGCCAGGUAUGAUAAGGCAUACAUGAAGUCUCAGCUACUUAGGAGGCUGAGGCAGGAGGGUCACUCAAGCCCAGGAGUUGAGGGUCAGUCUGUGCAAUAUAGCUAGAAAAACAAAACAAAACAAAAGAAGUCUUUAGAAGAGGUGACAAAGAGAAACAACAGUAGCUUAAAAUAUUCCAAAGUUGAUGGAACCUAUAUGUCUACAAUCCAAGAAACUCCAUGAACCCCCAGACAAAAGAAAUAUGAGGGAGCCAGGCAUAGUGGCACACACCUGCAAUUCCAACACUCUGGGAGGAUGAGGCAGGAGGAUCAUAAGUUCAAGCCCAGCCUGGGUAGCUUAGUGACUUAGGGAGAUUUUGUCAUAGAAUAGAAUAGAGUAGAAUAGAGGGCUGGGGAUGUAGCUCUCUAUUGAGGCUCUGGGUUCAAUUCCCAGUACUGCAAAAACCAAAAAAGAGUGGGGGAGAAAGAAAAAGAAAGAAACAUCAAAGGAACUAUACCAAGGCACAAUGAAUCAGAUUCCUUACGAGAGAAAAUCUUAAAAGCAGUUGGUGGGGAAAGCAUUACACAGAGAGGAAUAAACACAAAAAUUACUGUUGACUUCCUGUUUGAAAAAAUAUACAGAUCACACUGGAGGAUUAGCUCUGCCAUACAGUGUUUGCCCAACAUGUGUGAGAUCCUAGAUUUGAUUCCUACUGCCACAAAGGGGAAAAAAACCCCACAACUCUUAAACAGUGAGGUAACAUCUUCAAACUACCAAAGGAAAAAAACCCUGCUAAAUAAAUAGGAGAAGCUAGCUAUGGUGGCUCAUGCCAGUAAUCACAGCACUCAGAAGGCUGAAGCAGGAGGAUCGGUGCAAGUUUAAGGCCAGCCUGGGCUAUAUGAUCAGACCUUGUCUCAAAAUAAAAAUACAAAUAAAUAAAUAAGGAAGGAUACUGUUAAGGGAGUGAAAAGACAAGCCAUACAUCGUAAGAAAAUAUAAAUCACAAAGAUGAUAAAGGAUUUGAAUCUAGAACAUAAAGAGAUCUCCCAAAACUCAAUAAUCAGAAAAUAACUGGGGGUAAGAGCAGGUGCAUGGGUUGUAGCUCAGUGGUAGAGCAGUUGCUUAGCAUUUUUUUAAAAAUGGGCAAAAGAGGGAGAGGAGACAAAAGAUUUAAACAGACACUCUGUCAAAGAAGACAUACGGACAACAAACAAAAAAGAUGUUCUCUAUCAUUAGUCAUUAGGGACAUGUGAGUUAAAACCACGAGAUAUCACUACAUACUUAUAUGAGAACGAGAAUCUCUACACUUGAAAAAAUAUUGGUCAGGAUAUGUAGAAACUAUAAUUUUCAUACACUGCUGAUGGCAACGUUAAGGGGCAUAACUUUGGAAAAUAGUUCGGCAGUGUCUCCAAGUUAAACAUGGAUUUCCCAGAUGGCCUAGACUUUCACUCCUACAUAUCUAUCCAUGAGAAAUCAAACGUGUCUACAAAUGAACACUUACAAAUGUGCAGUCCAGCUUUCGAGGGGAAAUGCUUAUCUACUUUAUUUUUAAUUGGCAAAAUGUGUGUAUUUAUGAUGUAUACCAUGACGUUUUGAAAUAUGUAUGCGGUGGAAUGUCUAUUAAUCACUAGCAUUGGCAUAUCCUCAUGUAUUUCUUUCUGAUGAUGUGAUAUAAUAUGAAAUACAGUUGUAUAGUUGUUUUUUGGUAUCUACAAAAGGUUAGUUCCAGAACCAUCCCCACCCCAAGAUACCAAAAUAUGUAGAUGGUAGGGUAUAUAUAUGAGACAAGAUUGCCUACAUACACAGCAUGGUAACUGAAGAUCAGAAUUUAACAUAGGAUUCUAUUUUUGUUCAUGUUUAAACAUUUCCUCAUAAAAUGUGUACACAGCCUUCAUUUAAAAAUAAAGAAAAUUUUGAAACCCUGGAAUUAGUUUACAUGUUUAUCUAAUGGAACACUA
ensembl:lncRNA